GACGAACGCUGGCGGCGUGCUUAACACAUGCAAGUCGAACGGAAAGGCCCUGCUUUUGUGGGGUGCUCGAGUGGCGAACGGGUGAGUAACACGUGAGUAACCUGCCCUUGACUUUGGGAUAACUUCAGGAAACUGGGGCUAAUACCGGAUAGGAGCUCCUGCUGCAUGGUGGGGGUUGGAAAGUUUCGGCGGUUGGGGAUGGACUCGCGGCUUAUCAGCUUGUUGGUGGGGUAGUGCCUUACCAAGGCUUUGACGGGUAGCCGGCCUGAGAGGGUGACCGGCCACAUUGGGACUGAGAUACGGCCCAGACUCCUACGGGGGGCAGCAGUGGGGAAUAUUGCACAAUGGGCGGAAGCCUGAUGCAGCAACGCCGCGUGCGGGAUGACGGCCUUCGGGUUGUAAACCGCUUUCGCCUGUGACGAAGCGUGAGUGACGGUAAUGGGUAAAGAAGCACCGGCUAACUACGUG
rnacentral:rRNA from 1 species